rnacentral:lncRNA from 10 species
UCCCACCCCAGCCUCAAGCGGUCCUCCCACCUCAGCCUCCAGAAGGGCUGCGACUAUAGGCACACAUCACCAUAUUCCACUUUUUUUUUUUUUUUUUAAUUAGAGAUGAGGUUCUCCUUAUGUUCCCCAGGCUGGUCUUGAAUUCCUGGGCUCAAGUGAUUCUCUCCCGUCAGCCUCCCAAAGUGCUGAGAUUACCGGUGUGAGCCACUCUACCCAACCAAAAAUACUGAUUUUAAAGAAGCUCAGUGAGACACAAGAUAAUAAUGAAAAACAAAACAAAGGAAUCAGAAAAAAACCAAUUCAGGAUAUUAAUGAGACAUUUUCAAACAGAUAUCAUUUAAAAAAACAAAUUCUGGAGCUGAAGAAUUCACUGAAUAAAAUAUAAAAUACAUUCAAAAGCUUCAACAAUACACUACAUCAAGCAGAAGAAAGAAUCUCAGAACUUGAAGACAAGUCUUUUGAAAUAACCCUGUCAGACAAAAAAAAAAAAAAAAAAAGAAUUUUUGAAAAUGAAGAAAACCUACAUGACAUAUUGGGACACCAAUAUAGGAGAACAAAUAUUAGAAUUUUAGAUGUUCCAGGAGGUGAAGAGAAAACAAAAGGGCUGGAAAACCUAUUUAAUGAAAUAAUAGAUGAAAACAUCCCAAGUCUAGCAAGAGAGAUUUGAACUUGCAGAUUCAGGAGGCUCAGAGAUCUCCAAAUAGACCCAAUUUUAAAAGAUCUUGGCCAAGGACAGCAGCUCACACCUGUACUCCCAGCACUUUGAAAGGCCAAGACGGGAGUUGUUCAAGACCAGCCUGGGCAACAUAGCAAGACUCCAUCUCUACAAAAAAUAAAAUAAUUAGCUGGAUGUGGUGGCACAUGUGUGUAGUCCUGGCUAUGCAGCAGGCUGAGACGGAAGGACUGCUUGAGCUACCAUUAGAGCUCAAGGCUGCAGUGAGCUAGGAUCAUGCCACUGAAUUCCAGCCUGCGCCACAGACUGAGGCCCUGUCUCUAAAAAAAAAAAAAAAUUAAAAAUUAAAAUAAAUUAAUUUCAAAUAUAAUGAUAUUGAUAAGUUAAAAGAGAAUAGGAAAAAAGAUACACCAUGUAAAUACUAACCAAAAGAAAGCUGAGUGGCAUUACUAAUAUCAGAAAAUGCCAGUUUCAGAGAAAAUCAGAGCAGAGAUUAUGAAAUUAUACAAAAU